AUUGAACGCUGGCGGCAUGCCUUACACAUGCAAGUCGAACGGCAGCACGGGAGCAAUCCUGGUGGCGAGUGGCGAACGGGUGAGUAAUAUAUCGGAACGUGCCCAGUCGUGGGGGAUAACGUAGCGAAAGCUACGCUAAUACCGCAUACGAUCUAUGGAUGAAAGCGGGGGAUCGCAAGACCUCGCGCGAUUGGAGCGGCCGAUAUCAGAUUAGGUAGUUGGUGAGGUAAAGGCUCACCAAGCCGACGAUCUGUAGCUGGUCUGAGAGGACGACCAGCCACACUGGGACUGAGACACGGCCCAGACUCCUACGGGAGGCGAGCAGUGGGGGAAUUUUGGACAAUGGGCGCAAGCCUGAUCCAGCAAUGCCGCGCGCAGGAUGAAGGCC
rnacentral:rRNA from 1 species